AAUGAACGCUGGCGGCAGGCCUAACACAUGCAAGUCGAACGGAUCCUUCGGGAUUAGUGGCGGACGGGUGAGUAACGCGUGGGAACAUACCCAAAGGUACGGAAUAGCCUCGGGAAACUGGGAGUAAUACCGUAUGUGCUCGAAAGAGGAAAGAUUUAUCGCCUUUGGAUUGGCUCGCGUUGGAUUAGGGAGUUGGUGGGGUAAUGGCCUACCAAGCCGACGAUCCAUAGCUGGUUUGAGAGGAUGAUCAGCCACACUGGGACUGAGACACGGCCCAGACUCCUACGGGAGGCAGCAGUGGGGAAUCUUAGACAAUGGGGGAAACCCUGAUCUAGCCAUGCCGCGUGAUCGAUGAAGGCCUUAGGGUUGUAAAGAUCUUUCAGGUGGGAAGAUAAUGACUGUACCACCAGAAGAAGCCCCGGCUAACUCCGUGCCAGCAGCCGCGGUAA
rnacentral:rRNA from 1 species